rfam:Enterococcus sp. HSIEG1 chromosome, whole genome shotgun sequence.
GAACGCCGUGUGCGGUGAAAGUCGCAUGCACGGUGUGGAACGGGGGAAAAGAUGGAGAUAAUAUCAAAAUUUUACCUAUCGUUAU